rnacentral:rRNA from 1 species
GAGGUUAAGCGACUAAGCGUACACGGUGGAUGCCCUGGCAGUCAGAGGCGAUGAAGGACGUGCUAAUCUGCGAUAAGCGUCGGUGAGGUGAUAUGAACCGUUAUAACCGGCGAUUUCCGAAUGGGGAAACCCAGUGUGUUUCGACACACUAUCAUUAACUGAAUCCAUAGGUUAAUGAGGCGAACCGGGGGAACUGAAACAUCUAAGUACCCCGAGGAAAAGAAAUCAACCGAGAUUCCCCCAGUAGCGGCGAGCGAACGGGGAGGAGCCCAGAGCCUGAAUCAGUGUGUGUGUUAGUGGAAGCGUCUGGAAAGGCGCGCGAUACAGGGUGACAGCCCCGUACACAAAAAUGCACAUAUUGUGAGCUCGAUGAGUAGGGCGGGACACGUGGUAUCCUGUCUGAAUAUGGGGGGACCAUCCUCCAAGGCUAAAUACUCCUGACUGACCGAUAGUGAACCAGUACCGUGAGGGAAAGGCGAAAAGAACCCCGGCGAGGGGAGUGAAAAAGAACCUGAAACCGUGUACGUACAAGCAGUGGGAGCCUCUUAAUGGGGUGACUGCGUACCUUUUGUAUAAUGGGUCAGCGACUUAUAUUCUGUAGCAAGGUUAACCGAAUAGGGGAGCCGAAGGGAAACCGAGUCUUAACUGGGCGUUAAGUUGCAGGGUAUAGACCCGAAACCCGGUGAUCUAGCCAUGGGCAGGUUGAAGGUUGGGUAACACUAACUGGAGGACCGAACCGACUAAUGUUGAAAAAUUAGCGGAUGACUUGUGGCUGGGGGUGAAAGGCCAAUCAAACCGGGAGAUAGCUGGUUCUCCCCGAAAGCUAUUUAGGUAGCGCCUCGUGAAUUCAUCUCCGGGGGUAGAGCACUGUUUCGGCAAGGGGGUCAUCCCGACUUACCAACCCGAUGCAAACUGCGAAUACCGGAGAAUGUUAUCACGGGAGACACACGGCGGGUGCUAACGUCCGUCGUGAAGAGGGAAACAACCCAGACCGCCAGCUAAGGUCCCAAAGUCAUGGUUAAGUGGGAAACGAUGUGGGAAGGCCCAGACAGCCAGGAUGUUGGCUUAGAAGCAGCCAUCAUUUAAAGAAAGCGUAAUAGCUCACUGGUCGAGUCGGCCUGCGCGGAAGAUGUAACGGGGCUAAACCAUGCACCGAAGCUGCGGCAGCGACACUAUGUGUUGUUGGGUAGGGGAGCGUUCUGUAAGCCUGUGAAGGUG